ACCCGCAGCGGCUCCUCCUGAGCUCCCUCCUCCCGCAGGACGCGCCAGGCUGAUAAGAAUCCCGUGGAUAACCGAAGGCUGAUCCAGGAUGUCCCAGCAGCAGAAGCAGCCGCAGCAGAUCCCGGCCCAGUGCCAGGAGAAGUGCGGGGCGCUUCCCAAGGGGGUCCAGCAAAGCCAGGCCUCCAAAGGCCAGGCCAAGGCGGCCGUCAAGAGCCUCCCCCAGCAGCAGCAGCAGCAGCAGCAGCAGCAGUGCUCCAAGCAGAAGUAGAAUCCAUCCCAAAUCCCAAAUCCCGCUUUUUCUCCACCUCUCCGGGCUCCCGGGAACCUCUCCGGACCUGCUCGCCGGCCGGGAUUUACCCGGCGACAAGACGGGCUUAAUUAGGGCUAGAAAUGAAUCAUUAAUUCCGGGUUUAAUUUGGG